UACAGGGGGUGCGAGCGUUAAUCGGAGUUACUGGGUGUAAAGGGCACGUAGGCGGUGAGAUGUGAGUGAUGUGAAAGCCCCGGGCUUAACCUGGGAAGUGCAUUGCAAACUAUCUGACUAGAGUAUAUGAGAGGGUGGCGGAAUUUCCGGUGUAGCGGUGAAAUGCGUAGAGAUCGGAAGGAACGUCAAUGGCGAAGGCAGCCACCUGGCAUAAUACUGACGCUGAGGUGCGAAAGCGUGGGGAGCGAACAGG
rnacentral:rRNA from 1 species